AACUUAUCCUCUGCCCCGUGGCCUCCGACUGCCCAGCACUCCAGCAGCCAUUGCACAUCUUCCUCCUCUUCCUCUCGAAUCCUCUCGGAGCCCGCAAGGUAGGUUUGGGAUUUCGAUUUUCGGUUGCCGACGGGCUUAAAGGAGAUGGCCGUCGGCGGCUACGGGGUCGCCGCCGACCGGGCGGUGGUGGACGGAGCGCGGCUCUCAAGCGCCGAUCUGUUGAAUACAUCGGGUGCACAAGUAAUUUCAUCCCAUUUCCCUCUCUAUUUCGCUUGCAACUCGCUUCGUAGGCUGGUAUCUGUUCUAAUCCCCUUCCAAUUUGUGUGCACGCCGACCACGAGGGCUUGCAGAUGAGAGGUAGCUUCUUUCGCUAACGAGGGGUCCAAUCCCCACCGCGACACGCACUGGUGAAUGGAGGUCAGCUCGUUGGCACGGAUUCUGUCGUCCCUAUCAGUACGCCAUGGGAACUGCAAUGGUUCAUAUAUCGAUGCUCGUACUUAUCAUUUCCGAAGUCAUGAAAGGAGUCGUGAGAUGCACAGCACCAUGAGUCAUGAUGUUCAAUUUUGCAUGUGAAGUAAAUGUAGAUUUUAGCAGAGGAGGGGGAGGGAAAUCUGUUUGUGUAAUUAGACUUUAUAAACCAAAUUGCACGCAGUUCUGAAUUAUACAAACAUUAGGUAUAAAAUUGCAUGUUAGCUUUUGUGGUUUCUGGGAAAA